GCACCCGUAGCUCAGUGGAUAGAGCGCUGCCCUCCGGAGGCAGAGGCCACAGGUUCGAAUCCUGUCGGGUGCGCCA
rnacentral:tRNA from 6 species